AUGACCGUGAAGGUCGACCCGUCCGACACCAUCAAUGUCGUCAAGGCCAAGAUUCAUGAGCAGCAGUGCCUUACCUUUGACGACGAGGAGCUAGACGACAGACGCAGUGUGUCCUACUACCGCAUCCAUGAUGGAUCCACUCUUCGCCUCGGUCUGCGCCCGAGAAGGAAGAUCCAAAUCAUUGUCAAAGGGUUGACUGGAAAGGCCAGUACCCAUUAUUUUGAGGAGCUGGACACCGUCGAUUGUGUCAAGGCCAUGAUCCAGGAGAGAGACGGCAUUCCUGCCGCCGAGCAGAGGCUGAUCUAUGCCGGGAAACAGCUGGAAGAUGGUCGCACCCUGGCGCACUAUGCCAUCCACGACUGGGCCACAUUGCACCUCGUGCUCCGUCUCCGAAGGAAGAUCCAAAUCAUUGUCAAAGGGUUGACUGGAAAGGCCACUACCCAUUAUUUUGAGGAGCUGGACACCGUCGAUUGUGUCAAGGCCAUGAUCCAGGAGAGAGACGGCAUUCCUGCCGCCGAGCAGAGGCUGAUCUAUGCCGGGAAACAGCUGGAAGAUGGUCGCACCCUGGCGCACUAUGCCAUCCACGACUGGGCCACAUUGCACCUCGUGCUCCGUCUCCGAUCAUGCAGUCAAUGCCCAAGAGUGAGUAGUACCUAG
rnacentral:rRNA from 1 species